CGAGGUGUAGCUCAGUUUGGUAGAGUGUCUGGUUUGGGACCAGAAUGCCGCAGGUUCGAGUCCUGUCACCUCGACCA
rnacentral:tRNA from 1 species